UACGUAGGGUGCGAGCGUUGUCCGGAAUUAUUGGGCGUAAAGAGCGUGUAGGCGGCCAGAUAAGUCCGCUGUGAAAUCUCGAGGCUCAACUUCGAGCUGUCGGUGGAAACUAUCUGGCUAGAGUCCGGAAGAGGAGAAUGGAAUUCCUGGUGUAGCGGUGAAAAUGCGCAGAUAUCAGGAAGAACACCCGUGGCGAAGGCGGUUCUCUGGGACGGUACUGAGCUGAGACGCGAAAGCGUGGGGAGCGAACAGG
rnacentral:rRNA from 1 species